AUGGGGCGGGGUGACAAUACACGAAUAAAGCGUGUUGUAGUCCCCUGGUCCAGCUCCAAGCGGCGCUCCUCGGACAUCAUCAGCCUGCUGGUCAGCAUCUACGGCAGCAAGGACCUGUUCAUCAACGAGUACCGCUCGCUGCUGGCCGACCGCCUGCUGCACCAGCUCAGCUUCAGCCCCGAGCGGGAGAUCCGCAAUGUGGAACUGCUGAAGCUGCGCUUCGGCGAGGCCCAGAUACACUUCUGCGAGGUCAUGCUGAAGGACAUGGCGGACUCCCGCCGCAUCAAUGCCAACAUCCGGGAGAAGGACGAGAAGCGGCCGGCGGAGGAGCAGCCACCAUUCGGGGUCUACGCUGUCAUCCUGUCCAGCGAGUUCUGGCCGCCCUUCAAGGACGAGAAGCUGGAGGUCCCCGAGGACAUUAGGGCAGCCCUGGAGGCUUACUGCAAGAAGUAUGAGCAGCUCAAGGCCAUGCGGACCCUCAGCUGGAAGCACACUCUGGGCCUGGUGAUCAUGGAUGUGGAGCUGGCCGACCGCACGCUGUCUGUGGCAGUCACCCCGGUACAGGCGGUGGUUCUGCUGUACUUUCAGGACCAAGCCAGCUGGACCCUGGAGGAGCUGAGCAAGGCGGUGAAGAUGCCCGUGGUGCUGCUGCGGCGGAGGAUGUCUGUGUCACUUCAGCAGGGCGUGCUGCGGGAGGAGCCCCCCGGGCACCUUCUCUGUCAUCGAGGAGAAGCGGCCUCAGGACAGGGACAGCAUGGUGCUCAUCGACAGUGACGACGAGAGCGACUCGGGCAUGGCCUCCCAGGCCGACCAGAAGGAGGAGGAGCUGCUGCUCUUCUGGACCUACAUCCAGGCCAUGCUGACCAACCUGGAGAGCCUUUCGCUGGAGCGCAUCUACAACAUGCUGCACAUGUUCGUGGUGACCGGGCCCGCGCUGGCCGAGAUCGACCUGCAGGAGCUGCAGGGCUACCUACAGAAGAAGGUGUUCGUCUACUCGGCCGGUGUCUACCGCCUGCCCAAGAACUGCGGCUGACGCGCCCGCCCGCCCGCCCGUCCAUCCGCCACCCGGCCCGCCCUGCAGGUGCUCUCCUUCUCCCGUGCCAGCCCCCACCCGCGUGUGUCCCAGAAGGCACCGCUGAGGGGCACCCACCCCCACCCCACAGCGUGCAGAUUAAAGCAGUAAGGUAAAAA